rnacentral:tRNA from 2 species
GGGGGAGAACGCCCGGUGGCUUGGGCGCCAACUACUUAAGUUGGUAGUCGUGAGUUCGAGUCUCACUCUCCUCCACCA